GAUGAAGAACGUAGCGAAAUGCGAUAAGUAGUGUGAAUUGCAGAAUUCAGUGAAUCAUCGAAUCUUUGAACGCACCUUGCGCCCUUUGGCUAUUCCGAAGGGCAUGCCUGUUUGAGUAUCAUGAACACCUCAACUCUUCAUGGUUUUCCGUGAUGAGCUUGGACUUUGGGGGUCUUGCUGGCCUAUGGUCAGCUCCUCUAAAAUAAAUCAGCUUGCCAGUGUUUGGUGGGUAUCACAGGUGUGAUAACUAUCUACGCUUGUGGUUUUCCACCAGGUAACCUUCAGCAGUGGAGGUUCGCUGGAGCUCACAGAUGUGUCUCUCCUCAGUGAGGACAGCUCUUUGAAUGUUUGAUCUCAAAUCAGGUAGGACUACCCGCUGAACUUAAGCAUAUCAAUAAGCGGAGGA
rnacentral:misc_RNA from 1 species